rnacentral:rRNA from 1 species
AACGAACGCUGGCGGCAUGCCUAACACAUGCAAGUCGAACGACACCUUCGUAACUAGUUGCUCACGGGUGCGUCGCGCGUGGGAAGCUUCCCGUAGGUUCGGAAUACCUCUCCUUCGGGGGUGCUAAUGCCGGGUAAUUUAUGCUGACAAAAGAUUGAUCGUCCUUGGGUGGGCCCGCGUUGGUUUAGCUAGUUGGUAGGGUAAAAGCCUACGAAGGCGACGAUCCAUAGCUGGUCUGAGAGGAUGAGCAGCCACACUGGGACUGGGACACGGCCCAGACUCCUACGCGAGGCAGCAGUGGGGAAUACUGGACAAUGGGCGAAAGCAUGAACGAGCAAGGCCGGGUGAGUGAUGAAGGCCUUAGGGUUGUAAAGCUCUUUUACCCGGGAUGAUAAUGACGGUACCGGGAGAAUAAGCUCCGGCUAACUCCGUG